rnacentral:rRNA from 1 species
AGUUUGAUCCUGGCUCAGAACGAACGCUGGCGGCAUGCCUAACACAUGCAAGUCGAACGAUGCUUUCGGGCAUAGUGGCGCACGGGUGCGUAACGCGUGGGAAUCUGCCCCUUGGUUCGGAAUAACAGCUAGAAAUGGCUGCUAAUACCGGAUGACGACGUAAGUCCAAAGAUUUAUCGCCGAGGGAUGAGCCCGCGUAGGAUUAGCUGGUUGGUGUGGUAAAGGCGCACCAAGGCGACGAUCCUUAGCUGGUCUGAGAGGAUGAUCAGCCACACUGGGACUGAGACACGGCCCAGACUCCUACGGGAGGCAGCAGUGGGGAAUAUUGGACAAUGGGCGCAAGCCUGAUCCAGCAAUGCCGCGUGAGUGAUGAAGGCCUUAGGGUUGUAAAGCUCUUUUACCCGUGAUGAUAAUGACAGUAGCGGGAGAAUAAGCCCCGGCUAACUCCGUGCCAGCAGCCGCGGUAA